GUGAUUCGGGGUGCAGCAGGCGCGAAAACUUUGCAAUAAGCGAAAGCUUGACAGGGCUAUCCCGAGUGCCAUUCGCUGAGGAAGGCUUUUACCCAGUCUAGUAAGCUGGGGGAAUAAGGAGAGGGCAAGUCUGGUGUCAGCCGCCGCGGUAAUACCAGCUCUCCGAGUGGUGUGGAUGUUUAUUGGGCCUAAAGCAUCCGUAGCUGGCUGAGUUAGUCCCCUGUUAAAUCCACCGAAUCAAUCGUUGGAUUGCGGGGGAUACUGCUCGGCUAGGGGACGGGAGAGGCAGACGGUAUUUCCGGGGUAGGGGUGAAAUCCUAUAAUCCCGGGAAGACCACCAGUGGCGAAGGCUGUCUGCUAGAACGCGCCCGACGGUGAGGGAUGAAAGCUGGGGUAGCGAACCGGAUUAGAUACCCGGGUAGUCCCAGCUGUAAACGAUGCAGGCUAGGUGUUUGGGCGGCCACGUGCCGCUCUAGUGCCGCAGGGAAGCUGUUAAGCCUGCCGCCUGGGGAGUACGAUCGCAAGAUUGAAACUUAAAGGAAUUGGCGGGGGAGCACAAUCGAAU
rnacentral:rRNA from 1 species